rnacentral:rRNA from 1 species
CCUACGGGGGGCAGCAGUGAGGAAUAUUGGUCAAUGGCCGGAAGGCUGAACCAGCCAAGCCGCGUGAAGGACGAAGGUGCCAAGCAUUGUAAACUUCUUUUGUCAAGGGACAAAAUCAGGCUCGAGAGCCUGACCGAGGGUACUUGAAGAAAAAGCAUCGGCUAACUCCGUGCCAGCAGCCGCGGUAAUACGUAGGGGGCAAGCGUUAUCCGGAUUUACUGGGGGUAAAGGGAGCGUAGGUGGCAUGGCAAGCCAGAAGUGAAAACCCGGGGCUUAACCCCGCGGAUUGCUUUUGGAACUGUCAGGCUGGAGUGCAGGAGGGGCAGGCGGAAUUCCUGGUGUAGCGGUGAAAUGCGUAGAUAUCAGGAGGAACACCGGUGGCGAAGGCGGCCUGCUGGACUGUAACUGACACUGAGGCUCGAAAGCGUGGGGAGCAAACAGGAUUAGAUACCCCUGUAGUC